AACACAUGCAAGUCGAGCGCCCCGCAAGGGGAGCGGCAGACGGGAGAGUAACACGUGGGAACGUACCCUUCAGUUCGGAACAACCCAGGGAAACUUGGGCUAAUACCGGAUACGUCCGUAAGGAGAAAGAUUUAUCGCUGAAGGAUCGGCCCGCGUCUGAUUAGCUAGUUGGUGAGGUAACGGCUCACCAAGGCGACGAUCAGUAGCUGGUCUGAGAGGAUGAUCAGCCUCAUUGGGACUGAGACACGGCCCAAACUCC
rnacentral:rRNA from 1 species